rnacentral:rRNA from 1 species
GACGAACGCUGGCGGUGUGCUUAACACAUGCAAGUGGUGCGACGAACCUGGCUUCGGCCAGGGGCAAAGCCGCGAACGGGUGAGUAACACGUGGGUAAUCUGCCCCGAUGACCGGGACAACCCGAGGAAACUCGGGCUAAUACCGGAUGUGGUGCCUGGACAUAAGUCUGGUCACUAAAGGUAGCUUCGGCUUCCGCAUUGGGAGGGGCCCGCGGCCCAUUAGCUUGUUGGUGGGGUCAAGGCCUACCAAGGCAACGAUGGGUAGCUGGUCUGAGAGGACGAUCAGCCACACUGGGACUGAGACACGGCCCAGACUCCUACGGGAGGCAGCAGUGGGGAAUCUUGCGCAAUGCGCGAAAGCGUGACGCAGCAACACCGCGUGAGGGAAGACGGCCUUAGGGUUGUAAACCUCUUUCAGAUGGGACGAAGGUGAUGCGGUGAAUAGCCGAUGUCAUUGACGGUACCGUCAGAAGAAGCUCCGGCUAACUACGUGCCAGCCGCCGCGGUAAAAC